GUGAAAAUUUAACGGCCGCAGUACCCUGACUGUGCUAAGGUAGCGUAAUCAGUUGGCUUUUAAAUGAAGUCGAGAAUGAAUGGGUCUACGGGAAUAAGCUGUCUCCUUUUGUACUCGUGAACUUAUUUAGAAGGUGAAAAUCCCUUUACGUAGAAAAAAGACGAGAAGACCCUUAGAGUUUUAAUAAAAAUCACAUGUUGUGAUAUUUUUUUUGCUGGGGCGGCAAGGAGCACAAUUAAACUCUCCUGCAUAGAUUUUGAAGACGAAAUUUAUAAGAAUCAUUAAACUACCUUAGGGAUAACAGCAUAAUUAAUUUUUAGUUUGUGACCUCGAUGUUGGACUAGGAAUAACUUUUGGUUAGAAGCCAAAAGUACCGUUCUGUUCGAACAAU
rnacentral:rRNA from 1 species